rnacentral:lncRNA from 1 species
AUAUGAACUAGUUAAUGACCCAGAUGGUUGGCUGAGUGUGGAUGAGAGCUCAGUUAUUAUUACUGUGGCAAAAGAAUCAAGAAUCCCCCUUCUUGCACAACAACAUGUAUACCAUUAUUGUUCAUGCUACAAAUCAUGGGCAGUCAGUUGAACUUUUGAUGUUAAGAAGCCUCCCACAAGGCAGCUACUUGGUGCUCAUCAUUAUUCAGGACAGGCAAGUAUUUUCCACAAGGCAGAACCAGCACAUCAGGCUCUGCUUUUGUGCAGAUGGACACGCAUGGAAAUAUUCACCAGUUCUGCGAGCAGGAGUGAGACUUGGAAGUGGUGCCAUUGUGAUAAUACUGAUGACUUUCUUAUUAUUACUGGGUAAGCAGCCUCCUAAGUUAGACAUGCAGGCUCUCUGUCAUCUGGCCACUUGGUCUCAUUGCAAUUGCAGGUUCUUAGCUCAAAUCUACUAA